rnacentral:rRNA from 1 species
GAUUAAGUUAUUAAGGGCGCACGGUGGAUGCCUUGGCACUAGAAGCCGAUGAAGGACGUUACUAACGACGAUAUGCUUUGGGGAGCUGUAAGUAAGCUUUGAUCCAGAGAUUUCCGAAUGGGGAAACCCAGCAUGAGUUAUGUCAUGUUAUCGAUAUGUGAAUACAUAGCAUAUCAGAAGGCACACCCGGAGAACUGAAACAUCUUAGUACCCGGAGGAAGAGAAAGAAAAUUCGAUUCCCUUAGUAGCGGCGAGCGAAACGGGAAGAGCCCAAACCAACAAGCUUGCUUGUUGGGGUUGUAGGACACUCUAUACGGAGUUACAAAGGACGACAUUAGACGAAUCAUCUGGAAAGAUGAAUCAAAGAAGGUAAUAAUCCUGUAGUCGAAAAUGUUGUCUCUCUUGAGUGGAUCCUGAGUACGACGGAGCACGUGAAAUUCCGUCGGAAUCUGGGAGGACCAUCUCCUAAGGCUAAAUACUCUCUAGUGACCGAUAGUGAACCAGUACCGUGAGGGAAAGGUGAAAAGCACCCCGGAAGGGGAGUGAAAUAGAACCUGAAACCGUGUGCUUACAAGUAGUCAGAGCCCGUUAAUGGGUGAUGGCGUGCCUUUUGUAGAAUGAACCGGCGAGUUACGAUUUGAUGCAAGGUUAAGCAGUAAAUGUGGAGCCGUAGCGAAAGCGAGUCUGAAUAGGGCGUUUAGUAUUUGGUCGUAGACCCGAAACCAGGUGAUCUACCCUUGGUCAGGUUGAAGUUCAGGUAACACUGAAUGGAGGACCGAACCGACUUACGUUGAAAAGUGAGCGGAUGAACUGAGGGUAGCGGAGAAAUUCCAAUCGAACCUGGAGAUAGCUGGUUCUCUCCGAAAUAGCUUUAGGGCUAGCCUCAAGUGAUGAUUAUUGGAGGUAGAGCACUGUUUGGACGAGGGGCCCCUCUCGGGUUACCGAAUUCAGACAAACUCCGAAUGCCAAUUAAUUUAACUUGGGAGUCAGAACAUGGGUGAUAAGGUCCGUGUUCGAAAGGGAAACAGCCCAGACCACCAGCUAAGGUCCCAAAAUAUAUGUUAAGUGGAAAAGGAUGUGGCGUUGCCCAGACAACUAGGAUGUUGGCUUAGAAGCAGCCAUCAUUUAAAGAGUGCGUAAUAGCUCACUAGUCGAGUGACACUGCGCCGAAAAUGUACCGGGGCUAAACAUAUUACCGAAGCUGUGGAUUGUCCUUUGGACAAUGGUAGGAGAGCGUUCUAAGGGCGUUGAAGCAUGAUCGUAAGGACAUGUGGAGCGCUUAGAAGUGAGAAUGCCGGUGUGAGUAGCGAAAGACGGGUGAGAAUCCCGUCCACCGAUUGACUAAGGUUUCCAGAGGAAGGCUCGUCCGCUCUGGGUUAGUCGGGUCCUAAGCUGAGGCCGACAGGCGUAGGCGAUGGAUAACAGGUUGAUAUUCCUGUACCACCUAUAAUCGUUUUAAUCGAUGGGGGGACGCAGUAGGAUAG